rnacentral:rRNA from 1 species
AUUGAACGCUGGCGGCAUGCUUUACACAUGCAAGUCGAACGGUAACAGGGUGCUUGCACCGCUGACGAGUGGCGAACGGGUGAGUAAUGCGUCGGAACGUGCCGAGUAGUGGGGGAUAACGCAGCGAAAGUUGUGCUAAUACCGCAUACGUACUGAGGUAGAAAGUGGGGGACCUUCGGGCCUCACGCUAUUCGAGCGGCCGACGUCUGAUUAGCUAGUAGGUGAGGUAAAGGCUCACCUAGGCGACGAUCAGUAGGGGGUCGGAGAGGAUGGUCCGCCACACGGGGACUGAGACACGGCCCAGACUCCUACGGGAGGCAGCAGUGGGGAAUUUUGGAAAAUGGGCGAAAGCCUGAUGCAGCCAUGCCGCGUGUCUGAAGAAGGCCUUCGGGUUGUAAAGGACUUUUGUCGGGGAGGAAAUCCCCAGCGUUAAUACCGCUGGGGGAUGACAGUACCUGAAGAAUAAGCACCGGCUAACUACGUGCCAGCAGCCGCCGUAACAC